AUUGAACGCUGGCGGCAGGCCUAACACAUGCAAGUCGAGCGGAUGAAGGGAGCUUGCUCCUGGAUUCAGCGGCGGACGGGUGAGUAAUGCCUAGGAAUCUGCCUGGUAGUGGGGGAUAACGUCCGGAAACGGGCGCUAAUACCGCAUACGUCCUGAGGGAGAAAGUGGGGGAUCUUCGGACCUCACGCUAUCAGAUGAGCCUAGGUCGGAUUAGCUAGUUGGUGGGGUAAAGGCCUACCAAGGCGACGAUCCGUAACUGGUCUGAGAGGAUGAUCAGUCAACCGGGGAAGGAGACCGGGGACAAGACGCCUGAGGGAGGGAGCAGGGGGAAAUGUGGGAAAGUGGGGGAAAAUUUGACCCAGCGGGGGGGGGUGUGGAAAGAGGGUCUCGGGAUUUUAAAGAAUUUUAAGGGGGGGGAAAGGGAAUUAAGUAAAGACUUUGGUUUUUUGACGUUACAAACAAAAAAAGCCCGGGCUAAUUUCGUG
rnacentral:rRNA from 1 species